rnacentral:rRNA from 1 species
GAUGAACGCUGGCGGCGUGCUUAACACAUGCAAGUCGAACGGAAAGGCUCCUGCUUGCAGGGGUACUCGAGUGGCGAACGGGUGAGUAACACGUGGGUGAUCUGCCCAGCACUUCGGGAUAAGCCUGGGAAACUGGGUCUAAUACCGGAUAGGACGAUGGUUUGGAUGCCAUUGUGGAAAGUUUUUUCGGUGUGGGAUGAGCUCGCGGCCUAUCAGCUUGUUGGUGGGGUAAUGGCCUACCAAGGCGUCGACGGGUAGCCGGCCUGAGAGGGUGUACGGCCACAUUGGGACUGAGAUACGGCCCAGACUCCCACGGGAGGCAGCAGUGGGGAAUAUUGCACAAUGGGCGCAAGCCUGAUGCAGCGACGCCGCGUGGGGGAUGACGGCCUUCGGGUUGUAAACUCCUUUCGCUAGGGACGAAGCGCAAGUGACGGUACCUGGAGAAGAAGCACCGGCUAACUACGUG